AGUGAACGCUGGCGGUAGGCCUAACACAUGCAAGUCGAACGGCAGCACAGUAAGAGCUUGCUCUUACGGGUGGCGAGUGGCGGACGGGUGAGGAAUACAUCGGAAUCUACUUUUUCGUGGGGGAUAACGUAGGGAAACUUACGCUAAUACCGCAUACGACCUACGGGUGAAAGCAGGGGAUCUUCGGACCUUGCGCGAUUGAAUGAGCCGAUGUCGGAUUAGCUAGUUGGCGGGGUAAAGGCCCACCAAGGCGACGAUCCGUAGCUGGUCUGAGAGGAUGAUCGGCCACACUGUAACUGAGACACGGUCCAGACUCCUACGGGAGGCAGCAGUGUGGAAUAUUGGGCAAUGGGCGCAAGCCUGAUCCAGCCAUACCGCGUGGGUGAAGAAGGCCUUCGGGUUGUAAAGCCCUUUUGUUGGGAAAGAAAAGCAGCAGGUUAAUACCCCGCUGUUCUGACGGUACCCAAAGAAUAAGCACCGGCUAACUUCGUG
rnacentral:rRNA from 1 species